rnacentral:pre_miRNA from 1 species
GACAAUGUGAGGCAGGUCGGGAAGAGGAAGAGAAGAGGGCCUUAGAGCAGUGGGAGUGGGAACAUGGAGGAAAGCCUGACUUGCUUUGUUUUCACCUCAAGUGUUGGAGGUGAGAACUUGGUUUGGUGCUUUCCGAUGCCUCCCAUUCCUAUUGUUCUCGAGCACUCGUUCCUCUUCCCUUUUGGCUCGCUCAGUU